AACCCUGGAAGGAGAAAUUGGAAAUGCAACCUUUUAUUUAUUUAUUUAUUUAGUGUUUUUUUUUUUUUUCUGGAACAUGGACACGCUCCCAGUUGUGAGAAAUGCAGCAUCUGCAUUUUCGUACGCUGUUUGUACACGAGGCUUCUCCAUAGUACUCAGUACGUUACAUCUAACGUGCACCACGCGAUGGCCGUUUGAUAGAAUAAGUAAGCACGGGGGGAAAGGAGGGGCAUAAAAAACAGGACUCCCAUCUUGCUUCUGUCACGCUCUCCAUUCAGGCCGUUUCCGUUUUUCUGCCAUGAAUAAUAGCCGCUGACCGUGUCCCUCCAUUUCCGUUCUGUUUUAAGCCGCCCAGGGCCCGGUCGUUUGGGCCAAGAAGACAGAAAGAGCUUCUCAGUAAAUCCGAAUAUUCCAGAGCCCCUGUGGACGCCUAAAAGA